CUUUGAAAGUCGGUUUCGGCUGACACUUACAGAUGAGCCCGCGGCGCAUUAGCUAGUUGGUGAGGUAACGGCUCACCAAGGCGACGAUGCGUAGCCGACCUGAGAGGGUGAUCGGCCACACUGGGACUGAGACACGGUCCAGACUCCUACGGGAGGCAGCAGUAGGGAAUCUUCGGCAAUGGGCGAAAGCCUGACCGAGCAACGCCGCGUGAGCGAUGAAGGCCUUCGGGUCGUAAAGCUCUGUUGUUAGAGAAGAACAAGUACGAGAGUAACUGCUCGUACCUUGACGGUACCUAACCAGAAAGCCACGGCUAACUACGUGCCAGCAGCCGCGGUAAUACGUAGGUGGCAAGCGUUAUCCGGAAUUAUUGGGCGUAAAGCGCGCGCAGGCGGUCUCUUAAGUCUGAUGUGAAAGCCCACGGCUCAACCGUGGAGGGUCAUUGGAAACUGGGAGACUUGAGUGCAGGAGAGAAAAGUGGAAUUCCACGUGUAGCGGUGAAAUGCGUAGAGAUGUGGAGGAACACCAGUGGCGAAGGCGGCUUUUUGGCCUGUAACUGACGCUGAGGCGCGAAAGCGUGGGGAGCAAACAGGAUUAGAUACCCUGGUAGUCCACGCCGUAAACGAUGAGUGCUAGGUGUUGGGGGGUUCCACCCUCAGUGCUGAAGUUAACACAUUAAGCACUCCGCCUGGGGAGUACGACCGCAAGGUUGAAACUCAAAGGAAUUGACGGGGGCCCGCACAAGCAGUGGAGCAUGUGGUUUCAUUCGAAGCAACGCGAAGAACCUUACCA
rnacentral:rRNA from 1 species